AUUGAACGCUGGCGGCAUGCCUUACACAUGCAAGUCGAACGGUAACAGGUCUUCGGAUGCUGACGAGUGGCGAACGGGUGAAUAAUACAUCGGAACGUGCCUAGUAGUGGGGGAUAACUACUCGAAAGAGUGGCUAAUACCGCAUGAGAUCUACGGAUGAAAGCAGGGGAUCGCAAGACCUUGCGCUACUAGAGCGGCCGAUGGCAGAUUAGGUAGUUGGUGGGAUAAAAGCUUACCAAGCCGACGAUCUGUAGCUGGUCUGAGAGGACGAUCAGCCACACUGGGACUGAGACACGGCCCAGACUCCUACGGGAGGCAGCAGUGGGGAAUUUUGGACAAUGGGCGCAAGCCUGAUCCAGCAAUGCCGCGUGCAGGAUGAAGGCCUUCGGGUUGUAAACUGCUUUUGUACGGAACGAAAAGCCCUGGGUUAAUACCCUGGGGUCAUGACGGUACCGUAAGAAUAAGCACCGGCUAACUACGUGCCAGCAGCCGCAGUAAGAC
rnacentral:rRNA from 1 species